GAUGAAGAACGUAGCGAAAUGCGAUAAGUAAUGUGAAUUGCAGAAUUCAGUGAAUCAUCGAAUCUUUGAACGCACCUUGCGCUCCUUGGUAUUCCUCGGAGCAUGCCUGUUUGAGUAUCAUGAAACUCUCAAAGAAAAUCUUUUGUUAAUUCAAUUGGUUUGCUUUGGACUUGGAGGUUUUUUUUGCAGAUUAAUUUCUGCUCCUCUUAAAUAUAUUAGCUGGAUCUCAGUAUAUGCUCGGUUCCACUCGGCGUGAUAAGUAUCACUCGCUGAGGACACUGGUAAAGAAGGUGGCCGGGAAAUACAGAUGAACCGCUUCAAACAGUCCAUUGACUUGGACAAUAUAAGUUUUAAGAUCUGAUCUCAAAUCAGGUAGGACUACCCGCUGAACUUAAGCAUAUCAAUAAGCGGAGGA
rnacentral:misc_RNA from 1 species